rnacentral:rRNA from 1 species
AACGAACGCUGGCGGCAUGCCUAACACAUGCAAGUCGAACGAGACCUUCGGGUCUAGUGGCGCACGGGUGCGUAACGCGUGGGAAUCUGCCCUCUGGUUCGGAAUAACUCAGGGAAACUUGAGCUAAUACCGGAUAAUGACUUCGGUCCAAAGAUUUAUCGCCUGAGGAUGAGCCCGCGUCGGAUUAGCUAGUUGGUGAGGUAAAAGCUCACGAAGGCGACGAUCCGUAGCUGGUCUGAGAGGAUGAUCAGCCACACUGGGACUGAGACACGGCCCAGACUCCUACGGGAGGCAGCAGUGGGGAAUAUUGGACAAUGGGCGAAAGCCUGAUCCAGCAAUGCCGCGUGAGUGAUGAAGGCCUUAGGGUUGUAAAGCUCUUUUACCCGGGAUGAUAAUGACAGUACCGGGAGAAUAAGCCCCGGCUAACUCCGUGCCAGCCGCCGCCGUAAAAC